rnacentral:rRNA from 1 species
AGAGUUUGAUCAUGGCUCAGGACGAACGCUGGCGGCGUGCUUAACACAUGCAAGUCGAACGAGAUCCAUUCAGUAGCAAUACUGAUGAAGAUCUAGUGGCGAACGGGUGCGUAACACGUGAGGAACUUGUCCCGGUCUCUGGGAUAACAGUUGGAAACGACUGCUAAUACCGGAUGACGUCGGAACUUCGCAUGGAGUACUGACGAAAGGGUUACUGGAUCGGGAGAGCCUCGCGGCCUAUCAGCUUGUUGGUGGGGUAACGGCCUACCAAGGCAUCGACGGGUAGCUGGUCUGAGAGGAUGAUCAGCCACACUGGGACUGAGACACGGCCCAGACUCCUACGGGAGGCAGCAGUGGGGAAUCUUGCACAAUGGGCGAAAGCCUGAUGCAGCAACGCCGCGUGCGGGAAGAAGGCCCUCGGGUUGUAAACCGCUUUCAGAAGGAACGAAACUGACGGUACUUUCAGAAGAAGGUGCGGCCAACUACGUGCCAGCAGCCGCGGUGACACGUAGGCACCAAGCGUUGUCCGGAUUUAUUGGGCGUAAAGAGCUCGUAGGCGGUUCAGUAAGUCGGGUGUGAAAACUUUGGGCUUAACCCAAAGCGUGCAUCCGAUACUGCUGUGACUUGAGUUCGGUAGGGGAGUGGGGAAUUCCUAGUGUAGCGGUGAAAUGCGCAGAUAUUAGGAGGAACACCGGUGGCGAAGGCGCCACUCUGGGCCGAAACUGACGCUGAGGAGCGAAAGCAUGGGUAGCAAACAGGAUUAGAUACCCCAGUAGUCC